rnacentral:rRNA from 1 species
ACCGAACGGAUCGCAUUAUGGUCAUUUUAUAUGGCUGGCGAUAGAUCAUUCAAGUUUCUGACCUAUCAGCUUUCGACGGUAGUGUAUUGGACUACCGUGGCAGUGACGGGUAACGGGGAAUUAGGGUUCGAUUCCGGAGAGGGAGCCUGAGAAACGGCUACCACAUCUAAGGAAGGCAGCAGGCGCGCAAAUUACCCAAUCCUGACUCAGGGAGGUAGUGACAAGAAAUAACAACACUGGAAAUUUUAUUUCUAGUGAUUGGAAUGAUGGGAAUUUAAACCCCUUUCAGAGUAACAAUUGGAGGGCAAGUCUGGUGCCAGCAGCCGCGGUAAUUCCAGCUCCAAUAGCGUAUAUUAAAGUUGUUGCAGUUAAAAAGCUCGUAGUUGGAUGUCUGCUGGAAGCAAUCAGUCCGCCCUAUUUGUAGGGUGUGCACUUGAUGAAUUCUGGCAUCUAUAUCCCAAUAAUAUGAUGGUGUAUACCCUGUGUACACCCAUCUAUAUUGGGAUAAUACCGUUACUUUGAGAAAAUUAGAGUGUUUGAAGCAGGCUAAUUGCCUUGAAUACUGCAGCAUGGAAUAACAAUAUAGGAUUUCGGUUCUAUUUUGUUGGUUUCUAGGACUGAAAUAAUGAUUAAUAGGGACAGUUGGGGGCAUUCGUAUUUAACUGUCAGAGGUGAAAUUCUUAGAUUUGUUAAAGACGAACUACUGCGAAAGCAUUUGCCAAAGAUGUUUUCAUUAAUCAAGAACGAAAGUUAGGGGCUCGAAGACGAUCAGAUACCGUCGUAGUCUUAACCAUAAACUAUGCCGACUAGAGAUAGGAAAAUGUCAUUUUUCUGACUUCUCCUGCA